UUAUCAACCGGAUGACAUUUCGUAAUUUCAGCAUUUGAAUCUUUCUAUAAAGAGAAAUCACCAUGUCUGCCCUCCUCAUCACUGCUGGCCUCUCUUCUCUCCCUCUCUCAUUCAUAGUGAAGACGAAGCCAAUUGAGGAGGCCGCCGGAGAUCUCUCAAGAUUAAAAUCUUCGUCAGAACCCCAACAAGAAAGGCCAUAGCGCUUUUUGUCGAGAGCACUGAUGCUGUUGACGCCGUCAAGGCCAAAAUAGAGGAGGAGGAGGGGAUCCCGACUGACCAGCAGCUGCUCUUCUUCGGCGGGAGGCAGCUCGAGGACGGACGCUCCCUUGCCGACUAUACCAUCAGGGAGGAGGCCACGGUCCACCUCACCUUCCGAUCAUCGCAGUCCUCAGUCAAGAACAGGAAAAAGAAGCUGAGCGCUCUCUUAUCAGCCUCUUCUUGGAGAUUCCUGAAUCGGAAAAUUUCGGGGCUAUCGAGUUGAGCAGGAGCCCUUCGAUUCUUCCUUGAAGUGGGGGAUAUGUAAGUAGAUUAUGGUUGCAUGUAUUUAUUUCGGCACGUUUAACUCAUCCUCAUCAUUUUGGCACGUUUCAUGCGAAUAGAAGAAUGAAAUAUUCGUUUAAGAUGGAUGACGACGCUUUAUUCAGUGAUCUUACUACAAUACCUUCAUGUAUUUUUGUUUGUCAAUCGUGCUUUAUCAUCCAAAUGGUAUUAAUAUCACGCUUAUUAUUCCAGAAUCCAAUGGAUUGAUCAUAAGCUAAAUUUCGGAAUUGCAUAUAAAAUUUUGAUACAUAUAUAACAAGACUUGAUCUUGCCCCUUCUUUGAAGUAUGAGCUUCUCUGUUCCUCGUUAUUAACUUAUGCCCGUUGUUGGAUCAAUUUUUUGUUAUACAUAUAUUUAUAUAAUUCGUUCAAGGGAUGAAAUAAUUCCCCAUAACAUGUACUAGACAUAACUGAUAGCUAGUCGGACUAUCUCAUGGACCUUAAACAAAAGAGUACGUCGCCGGAAAGUUGGGCCGGUUUUUCUCUCCUUUGUAGAGAGUGGCCCAAAUCCAAAUAAAUUAACACUCACAUGGCUAACAUCGGGUUUCAAACCCAUGAAACCUUUUCAGAGCACCCACUAUAUAAAUGAGUUCAAAUACAACUAGAAGAAAGGCUCCUGCAUAUGCACGAGCUAGAGAUGUCGCAUAUAUAUACUGAAAAUAUCUAAUGGUAUAAUUACAUGGGUAUAUAGGUAGCAUAAAUUUAAUCGUGAUGAAUUUUUGUCUACGAGGAACUUAAUUUCAAUCUUCCUUUUCAAUUGGGGUUAAUAACAAAAAAAAAAAA